UCUGCCUUAUAGGCCAGCGGUCUCGGUAGAGUGCCCAACUUAAUGCUGGCAACUACCGACGAGGGUUGCGCUCGUUGCGGGACUUAACCCAACAUCUCACAACACGAGCUGACGACAGCCAUGCAGCACCUGUCUCCGCGUCUCCGAAGAGAACGCCCACUUUCAUGGGAUAGCGCGGGAUGUCAAACCUAGGUAAGGUUUUUCGCGUAGCAUCGAAUUAAACCACAUGCUCCACCGCUUGUGCGGGCCCCCGUCAAUUCCUUUGAGUUUUAGCCCUGCGGCCGUAGUCCCCAGGCGGUCGACUUAAUGCGUUAGCUGCGGCGCCGAGGGGGUCGAUACCCCCGACACCUAGUCGACAUCGUUUACGGCGUGGACUAC
rnacentral:misc_RNA from 1 species